AACGAACGCUGGCGGCAUGCCUAACACAUGCAAGUCGAACGAGACCUUCGGGUCUAGUGGCGCACGGGUGCGUAACGCGUGGGAAUCUGCCCUUCGGUUGGGAAUAACACAGAGAAAUUUGUGCUAAUACCUUAUAAUGUCUUCGGACCAAAGAUUUAUCGCCGAGGGAUGAGCCCGCGUAGGAUUAGCUAGUUGGUGGGGUAAUGGCCUACCAAGGCGACGAUCCUUAGCUGGUCUGAGAGGAUGAUCAGCCACACUGGGACUGAGACACGGCCCAGACUCCUACGGGAGGCAGCAGUGGGGAAUAUUGGACAAUGGGCGAAAGCCUGAUCCAGCAAUGCCGCGUGAGUGAUGAAGGCCUUAGGGUUGUAAAGCUCUUUUACCCGGGAUGAUAAUGACAGUACCGGAGGAAUAAGCCCCGGCUAACUUCGUGCCAGCCGCCGCAGUAAAAC
rnacentral:rRNA from 1 species